ACAAACUUUCAGUACAAAAUUCGCCAAAAUUGAUUCGGUUCACUCGUGAAAUAAAAGCAACGAUGACAAGUACACAUUGAAGGAAAUUAACGAUCGUUUCAAUGAUCGAUCAGCGAUCAUAACGAAUAACAAAGAACGAGACCCCUCCUAUGUGUAGAACGACAGUGUGUUGACUGUAAGACGGAAGGAUCGAGCGGAGGCAGUACACGAUAGAUAGUUGGCCGAUCGAGUACCGGAUCCAACGAUAUUUUUCUGCGACACAGCGUGGACGGAAAGGUGAAGGCGAUCGCAGGCGGUUUCCCGGGUGUUUACGAUCUGGAAACUUACGCACGAAUCCGCGAGGAAAGCGCGGACGAGGCCGCACAGAGAGAUCCGGCAUUCCUGGAAAUUAUCACCUCCGGGAUUUGUGAUCGUGACGCGUGACAACGACUGGUUUGCAAAAGUCGAAGCGGAGGUCGCGAGUUUUCGGCCGUUCAAGGCCGUCUGACAAUCAAAGUCGUAGCCCUUCAAUGUUAGGGACAUUUGAGUUCUCGUGCACUCGAUAAGUGGUAUUAUGUUUAUUAUAUUAUGUGUAUAAACACGUUCAAUGACUUUAUAUUUAAUCGAUUAUACAGUGGCUACUGAAAGUGUCUGCACAUAUUGUUAGUUUGCUAUGAAGCUUCUUUUCAUCAGGUGUAACAUUUCGUUUUCAUAGUAUCAAAUGUUUGUAGCCGUAUGAAAGACACAUAGGAAAAAUGUAAGUACUUGGCAAUUACUAGAUAAUGACGGUACAGUCUGAGUUAUUCGAAAUAAUAGGGAGACAAAACUGUUGGGACAAUAAAAUUUUCGGAUAGUAGAAUAAAACACUUUUCUGAUAUGAAAUUUCAUUUAAUUCAAAUACGUUCUUUUUGUGUUUCGAAGCGUCGAAACCUUUUUCCAAAUACCACGAACACUUCGGCCAAGAAGUUACUUCAUUACCACUUUCAUUUACUGUUGCCAUUCCUAUAAAAUCGUCGUUAUUACCGUCUUUAUCGCGAUGAGAUCAUUUCAUUACAUCAGGAUAUUUAAAGUUUCUCUACUGUUACCAGCACCAGAGAAAUGUGCGUGCUAAUAUUCAGUAUCGUGUUUUUUAUUGACUGUGAUUAUAGCUUUUUCGACGUUAUAUAUUUUUGCUACUUCUGUUGCACAUACGUCAUUCUCGAGAAUUUUAAUUACGUUAUUGCUUGUUUCGAUAGUUAGAACGCUAUUAGUUUUAUAAUAAAUUCUUGUAACCAGAAUUCGUAAUACUUUCUUCAAAUUAGAAGAUCAUGUAAUUCGACGUUUUCGAAAAUUCAAGUGUAUUUUGGCUUUUUGUGAAUAAAUAUUCGAGUUUGAUGAAAAAGGUAUCAAAUUAAUUUAUGCAGGUCCUGUUAGCACAAUUAUGCUGCUACUUAAUUAUCGGUGAAAUCUCACGAGGCACAAGUUACCGAUAUUAUUGAAUUCUCUUACCAGAUAAAUUUAAUAAUAAAAUAACUUAUAUCUUACAAAUGAAUUUUACAGAUUACCAGUCAUUUUAUUAUUUCAUAUGACGAGACUGCAAAAUUAUAGAAAAGAAAUCUGUAAUCUAUAACUUCUAACUUAUCAGUUCACUAAUAUUAUUCAAUAAAAUAUCGUGCAAUCAUCAACCAUAGUCAAAAUUGAGGUCCCCCUUACAAUUAUGCUGACUCUGUACAAUUUCUUUAUUAUUGCACUUGUUAUUAUCAAAUAUUAUAGUGUUAAAUUUUUUCUAUUUUGUUUGUAUCGUUUUCUUGCACAAUUGUUUGUAUAAUUCUGAUAAUUGGUUUCAUUAAUUAUAUAAGAAGGAGAGACAGGAGGGAAGACAGAAGUUAGGGUUACGAGAGUGUACAAACACGUUUGAAAGGAAAGUAAAAGUAAAAAUUAUAAGUACCAUGGACAACGAACGACCUCGAAUGCCCGAAAUUUCUGGGGCCUAUACUAUCGUGAUACGGUUCUCAGGAGCGUUCCUGCUGGUCAUGAAAACAAGAUUUCCUUGUCUUCCACCUUCACUUUAGAAGAAAGGACACAUAUGGUACCUUCGAAUUUGAUGAAACAUUGUAGGCUCGAAGAACAACCAGCCAAAAAUAUUAGAUACGUAUCUUCUUCUUUUUCUAGCUACAGUAAUUCAAGUUUAAGGGGUGAAACCACUCUUUAAAUUUCGACCCUUUGGAAGCUAACUCGAAAUAAGUUAAAUCGAAAAGUUAACAAAAAUUGUGCGGUUUCUAACGUGCCAGAGGAGAAUGCUAAUGCCAGAUAGAACAAUUUUCAGAGAUGUUUAGAAAGAUUGCAUCAGCCGUGUUUGCUUCACAGAAUUUCUUUUUUACCUAUGCAAUUUAGUAAAAAUACAUCUCGUUCAAUAUCCGUAAUUAUAAUCUAAAUUGAAACGUAGAAUUGAAAAAUUAGAGACAAUAAACCUCUUCUAGUCUUAAUAAAUUCAUCUUCAACGCCCCUUAUUACAAAUCCUUUAAGUCAUUUUCAGUCCAAUCGUGUUCCCCCUGCACCAAACAAUUCUCGUUCGGAGAAUUCUGUUUCUGUUCUAUUUCAUCGCGUUGCGUCCAAGUUUUUUUCCCGACUUUUUCUAACAAAACAAGAACAGGAUUAGAUCGCAGAAGGUUCAAAGAUCACUGCUGAGUCGGCUAAAAAGUGAAAUUCGUUUAAACUUUCUCAUUAUCCUUCCGUCAUUUCUUAUUUCCUUCGAUUAAACUCUCUUCGAGCUCGCUUGCUUUAUUUUCCUCUCGGUUCUCAAGGCGAUGUGCCGCCGUGCCUCAUCGUAGUUUCUCAGCCAAGUUGUUUCCGCUGACAGCCUGGAUUAAUCAAGUUUAAUAGGUUAAAGUCGCGUUCGUUGUUCGCCGUUUCGUCUCGCGAUAAACGCGGCCAAAAUAAUAAACAGAUACGCUUAAAACGCGUAUUUAGCUACCUGUUCUGACCAUGACGCUGCGUCUUCAGGACAGGGAUGCGAUUAUAUACGAUCAAACCCUGUUAUUCUCUUGAAUCAUUCCAAACUUUCAACGAAUUUAACUGAGUUAUUCGUAUCUCCAUGAACUUUCAUCGACUCCCCCUUUGCGAGCCUUGACCACUCCAGUCAUAAAUUCAUAAACCUGCAUCUAUCGUUUUAAAUUUUAAGUUUUGCGUACGUUAAACGAUGCAAGAUUGUGUUACAGAGUUUAGCGUUUCUUGUAUAUAUUUCUGUAUGUUCUUAUAUAACCGUCAAUCAUUUAUAAUCAGAGCAAGAAUAUUCUAUUAACGUCUUGUGUCCCCGUCAGACUUCCUUGCUUCAGGCUAUAUAUACAUAUACUAUUGUCGAUAAGCAUCUAAAACACUGUAACUGGUUUGUAGCAACAUGAAUGUUAAGUAAAAUAUAUUUAUAUAUUAAUGAGAAAUUAAUGACUGAAAACAAUACUCAUCAUACUUUUACAGAUUCAACGAAUAAUUUAUUCGGGAAUUUAUUAGGGAAGAAAAUAGAAUUUAUAUUUAUUAACAAAUAAUAAAUUCGAAUUGUUUGUUUAAAAACUUGGUCGACAGUGUAUUAAAAUUAAAUAUACGAUUCGCCCAUGUACCUACAUGCUAUUCCUUCUCUGAUCUUCCUUAUCUGAUCUGUGUCUUAGAGACCAGAUAGUCUAUCUGAUUUAUGUUUUACAGAUUAAACGGGGAUAAAGAACUUUCCCAGAAUAUUCUGUGAUAAAGCUGACUAAAAGAUUCUACUAGAACGUAUUUUCAUUCUUGCAAGCGACAAUAUUUCAUUACAUAUCCAUCAGUCGUUUAAAACCAAUUUCAUCGUGUCACAUAAUGCUAAACUAAUAACGUAGGAUGUAAUUGUAUAGUGUUCGUCUAUUAUUUACCGCUAUUAUAUCAAAUUAUAUCUUGUCAAAAAAGAGCGUCCAUGAGUGUAUUUCCAGGUAUUUCUGAACGAUUAUACAUAGAUAUAUCCUGCAAUACAAAAGUAUGAAUUGCAAAUCAUGAGAGAAAAGAUCGUGAAACGCGGAACCGAUCUGCGUAUUAAGUCGAACGAUCGAACGGUACCGCCUAUUUUGCCGAUCGAUGACCGUACAAUGCAGAUAAACGAUAAUUGCUCGCGUUUCGCUCGAUCAUAAGAACUUUCUCACGUUCCUCUUUUUUUCUUUUCUCUCUCUCUCUCUCUCUCAAAUUACCUCAUUAUCUCUUUCCAUUUGGCGAUGAAACGAUAUCGACGGUUCGCUUAAUCGAAUUAAUUAAUAGCACGGUUGCGCCUGAAAUGACAUACCGAAAUAAUGGCCAAUGAAAAUUACUCAAAAGCUUAAUCCAUUUCCACGAUGUUUACUACAUUGUGACACGUGUUGGUUCGUGCAAAACGAAAGUACACGAUGCCAAGGUCACGGAUUAUUGAAACCUUGAUCGCAUUUGAUUGGACACUUUCGAAUUAUGUCCUUUCUUUGUUUUGGUUCAAGUGGAGGAAACUGAGUACGUACUUCCCUUUUACCCUUGAAAAAAAAAAUAUAAAUUGCUUGGUAGCGUCAUGAUACUCGAUUAUUUUUAUUGGUGUUACGUGGAAGAUUGAUGCAGUGUGUUUGUAUUUCACGAUAAACAUAUUUAACGCUGAAAGAUACACGUUUGUUUAGCCCCGUUUUUUAGAGAGUAUGACAGAUUUAGUAAAUUUGCAAACCAAACUUUUGUACGCUAAUGAAAAUAAGUUAUAUCUACAUAAGAUAAUUCCUUUUGGUGGAUAUCAUACAUAUCAUGGGGAACGAUUACGCAUUUUUUACGAUACAAAGACGUUUUAACAAGUACAAGGAGGAUCGUACAAUUAUGUCAAAUAAUCUUUCUGAAGAAGAUUCUCAACCCUUUAAUGACAAAUAAACGAUAUUUAAAUUUUACAGUGAUCCUAUCUUAGCUUCAACUUGUAUACAUAUAUGUUGGUCUACGCGAUGUAUAUGUACAUCGAAUUAAAUCCUAUAAAUUAUAUAGCAUUCAUAUGAAAAGUUACUUUUAACCCAUAACUGCUGACAUAAAGUCCAACUUUCUUUUCCUGUAAUUUUUUUCAAUCUCUCCUUAUAUGAUGUAUUAUGUAAACUAUUCUCUAGCAAAAAAACUUAGUACAUGCCGGCAUAGGUACAAUUUUCUAAUAUAUGUUUGCAAUAUGUAGAGAUAUGUUGUCGAAUAAAAACAGUGCCUAAUAA